CACACAUUAGUGAAGACCUCACAGUAAACCAAUGCUGGGAUGUGAGGUCUGAUGUAUAUUUGUG
rfam:Larimichthys crocea isolate SSNF unplaced genomic scaffold scaffold111, whole genome shotgun sequence.